rnacentral:rRNA from 1 species
CCUACGGGUGGCAGCAGUGGGGAAUAUUGGGCAAUGGGCGCAAGCCUGACCCAGCAACGCCGCGUGAAGGACGAAGGCUUUCGGGUUGUAAACUUCUUUUGUCAGGGACGAAGCAAGUGACGGUACCUGACGAAUAAGCCACGGCUAACUACGUGCCAGCAGCCGCGGUAAUACGUAGGUGGCAAUCGUUAUCCGGAUUUACUGGGUGUAAAGGGCGGGUAGGCGGGGAAGCAAGGCAGAUGUGAAAACCACGGGCUAAACCUGUGGCCUGCCUUUGAAACUGUUUGUCUUGAGUGCUGGAGAGGCAAGCGGAAUGCGGGGUGUAGCGGUGAAAUGCGUAGAUAUACGGAGGAACACCAGUGGCGAAGGCGGAUUGCUGGACAGGAACUGACGCUGAGGCGCGAAAGCGUGGGGAGCAAACAGGAUUAGAUACCCUAGUAGUC